UCAAAAGACAGAAUUCAGUGUUUACUGAUUUGUUCAAAAAGGAAAGUCAAACCUUUGUACAGCCUGGGUUUCUGGUCCAGGACCUGUGUUUUGCCAAACAUAUGAAGAAUGUGUUUGUCCCUGUAACCAUACAGGAAGAGACAAAAGCCAACUGAUUCACAAGACCAAGGCAUACUCCAUGGUCAGACCUGAUCUGCAGAGGUGGCCACCCUUGCGUUGCAGUCUCCUCAGCCUUCUCUGCUUACACUCGGGAUUGCUGAAUCACUGGGUGGCACCUGGACUCUCUUCCAAGCCACACAAACAAGUUCUCAACUCUUGGAUUUCUGGAUCCUUGCUUCUUUUAAUUGCAGGCACGCCAUUGCAGCCAGCAGUUACAGCGCCCCCUGUGGGAGGCAGGAGGGAGUGCACAGAGAGCAGAGUGGCAGCCCCAGUGCUGGGCUGACCCUCUUAGCCAUGGGAGAAUGGGGAAGUUUCUUGACCUCUGGCACCUCAGCAUCCCUGCCGAUUGGUGUGAUGGCGGGGCUGAUUUUGCAGGGUGAUUGGGUGUGUUUUCUCCCUCUGGACUUUAAAGUCUCUGGUGUGUUCCUAGAGUGGGCUUGCAGAGUUGAGGUCCUGGUUUCUCCUUCUCCCUUGCAGGGCCUGAAGAAGAUCUCUGCCUAUAUGAAGACCAGCCACUUCCUUCCAAGUCCUGUGUACUUAAAACAGGUCACGUGGGGCAACAAGUAGGACCCUGCAUGGAGGGCCGGUGAUGGUAGGGAGGAUCUGUCAGGGCUUCUGUGGUCCUGGACCAUGCUUGGCUCCUCUCGCCCACUCUGUAAUAAUCUUCCUGUUCCAUUCCUUUCUCCUGUAUCAGGAUUAUUGUCUCCCUUCUACCGGCUUCUCACCAGAUGGUCCUAUGCUUUGCUUGGAGCAGCUUAAUAGACACUAUCCUCCUGACUCUUGCCUGAGAGAUCAGCCUUGUCCAAUCCCCAGUGAAGUCUGAACUGUACUCACUCUGGGUCUUGGCAUAUUGCCAAUGGCUCAAAGACUGACUUCAUUGACUUGUUGGAGUGGUGUUUGUUCCUUUGUUCACAGGAAGAGCUGGGUAACGAGACCAUAAUCGAGGGCUGGAGGGAUGGGUCUCAGUCAAGCAGGGUCUAAGACCAAAUAUGGGCCUUGCUGUCCUCUGGUAUUUCUGAGGCUGGGGUUCCUACAGGAUGGUGCUCCUUCUGCACCAGGGCUCCUCAUUCACCCUGCAGGAUGCAAAACCUCCAUUGGCCAUGUAUCGCCAUGUGCCAGGCUUGGAAGAAAGGCUGGGCUGAUGGGAGGAGGUGAGCAGGUCCUAGACUCAAUAUCUGUCCCCAUCCGGAAGUCUUUUCUGGACCAAAUGUGCACUUCGUCUCAAAGAUGUUUCCCUAUAGAUCUUCCCACCACCUGUGGUUGCUCUUGUGAGUGUCCUUGUCCAGCUCAGUCAUAGGCUCCUUUUAAGGAUCACAUAUUGCUGAAGUUUUCAUCUCUGAUAUGAAUGGCAGUGUGUGGCAUACUGUCAAUGAUCACAAAAUUAAGACGAUUUGCCCCCCGCACCCCCCCCAGUCCUGCAAAUUAGCAACCUGGAAAUAACCAUGGUUCCCCCCAAAGGCAUAGAAUGGGAUACAGAAGCUAUCCCAUGUGGAGGUGGCAUAUUUAGCCACCCAAAUGCGCUCUCUCAUUUAAGCACUUAAGAGGCAGCAGUUG
rnacentral:lncRNA from 1 species